AUUGAACGCUGGCGGCAGGCCUAACACAUGCAAGUCGAACGAGUGGCGGACGGGUGAGUAGUGUCCGGGAAACUGCCCGACGGAGCGGGAUAACUACUGGAAACGGUAGCUAUUAACGCAUACCAUCGGAUGUGCCCAGAUGGGAUUAGCUAGUAGGUGGGGUAAUGGCUCGCCUAGGUGACGAUCCAUAGCUGGUCUGAGAGGAUGGACAGCCACACUGGAACUGAGACCAGGUACAGACUCCUACGGGAGGGAACAGUGGGGAGUAUUACACAAUGGGAGCGAGCCUGAGGCAGCCAUGCCGAGUGUAUGAAGGAGGGCUUGGUGUUGGAAAGGACUUUCAGCGAGGAAGCGUUACUCGCAGAAGAAGCACCGGCUAACUCCGUGCCAGCCGCCGCGGUAAUAC
rnacentral:rRNA from 1 species